rfam:Yarrowia lipolytica strain CLIB122 chromosome F complete sequence.
GUCAAUUUGGCCGAGUGGUCUAAGGCGUCCGACUCAAGUGUAAGCUUAGCAAGAGAAAUCUAGCUUUCGGAUCUCGCAAGAGGCGAGGGUUCGAAUCCCUCAGUUGACA